rnacentral:rRNA from 1 species
ACGAACGCUGGCGGCGUGCUUAACACAUGCAAGUCGAACGGAAAGGCCCCUUUGGGGGUCCUCGAGUGGCGAACGGGUGAGUAACACGUGAGUAACCUGCCCUUGACUUCGGGAUAACUUCAGGAAACUGGGGCUAAUACCGGAUAGGAAUCCUUGCUGCAUGGUGGGGGUUGGAAAGCUUCGGCGGUUUUGGAUGGACUCACGGCUUAUCAGCUUGUUGGUGGGGUAGUGGCUUACCAAGGCUUUGACGGGUAGCCGGCCUGAGAGGGCGACCGGCCACAUUGGGACUGAGAUACGGCCCAGACUCCUACGGGAGGCAGCAGUGGGGAAUAUUGCACAAUGGGCGGAAGCCUGAUGCAGCAACGCCGCGUGCGGGAUGACGGCCUUCGGGUUGUAAACCGCUUUCAGCAGGGGCGAAGCUUGUGGUGACGGUACCUGCAGAAGAAGCACCGGCUAACUACGUG